CCCUUAGAUGUUCUGGGCCGCACGCGCGUUACACUGAUGCAUUCAACGAGUUUUUCCUGGUCCGAGAGGAAUGGGUAACCUUUUGAAAGUGCAUCGUGCUAGGGAUAGACUAUUGCAAUUAUUGGUCUUCAACGAGGAAUUCCUAGUAGACGUAGUUCAUCAGACUGCAUCGAUUACGUCCCUGCCCUUUGUACACACCGCCCGUCGCUCCUACCGAUUGGAUGAUCCGGUGAGCUAUUCGGACCUUCGCUUCGUCGAUUUUCGGCUUUGUGAGGGAAAGUCUCGCGAACCUUAUCAUCUAGAGGAAGGAGAAGUCGUAACA
rnacentral:rRNA from 1 species